UACGGGGGGAGCAAGCGUUGUUCGGAUUUACUGGGCGUAAAGGGCGCGUAGGCGGUCAGCACAAGUCAGUUGUGAAAUCUCCGGGCUUAACUCGGAAAGGUCAACUGAUACUGUGCGACUAGAGUGCGGAAGGGGCAACUGGAAUUCUCGGUGUAGCGGUGAAAUGCGUAGAUAUCGGGAGGAACACCAAUGGCGAAGGCAGCUCGCUGGGACGGUACUGACGCUGAGACGCGAAAGCGUGGGGAGCAAACAGG
rnacentral:rRNA from 1 species